rnacentral:rRNA from 1 species
GAUGAACGCUGGCGGCGUGCCUAAUACAUGCAAGUCGAGCGAACAGACGAGGAGCUUGCUCCUCUGACGUUAGCGGCGGACGGGUGAGUAACACGUGGAUAACCUACCUAUAAGACUGGGAUAACUUCGGGAAACCGGAGCUAAUACCGGAUAAUAUAUUGAACCGCAUGGUUCAAUAGUGAAAGACGGUUUUGCUGUCACUUAUAGAUGGAUCCGCGCCGCAUUAGCUAGUUGGUAAGGUAACGGCUUACCAAGGCAACGAUGCGUAGCCGACCUGAGAGGGUGAUCGGCCACACUGGAACUGAGACACGGUCCAGACUCCUACGGGAGGCAGCAGUAGGGAAUCUUCCGCAAAGGGCGAAAGCCUGACGGAGCAACGCCGCGUGAGUGAUGAAGGUCUUCGGAUCGUAAAACUCUGUUAUUAGGGAAGAACAAAUGUGUAAGUAACUAUGCACGUCCUGACGGUACCUAAUCAGAAAGCCACGGCUAACUACGUG